ACAAAGCAAACAGCAGCGCUUCCAUGCCUGUGAUCUGAGCUGCAACUGCUGUAUUUUUUUUUUUUUUUUGCGUAAGUUCACAGUCUGAAGAGAAAUGAAAGCACCUCUCCUUAUCUCGUACAUCUGUGCUGCAGUAGGAGCUGCUUCCUUUCGUGUAUGAAUUCUGCCCUUCUAAAAACGACUUUAUGGCCUCUGAUAGUUUGCAAAGCUCUGCUGGGUGGGAUGGAUAGCUGAGGAGGAGGGGUGGCCUCCAAAGGCACUGCCUUCUCCCAUCGCUGACCCCCAGUGUUCCCCCAGGCCCUGCCCUCCCAACCUGACUCAUGCUAAUGGAAGAACAAAGUGACUGAGUGCCUUUCUCCCCCUGAGUGUGGGAGAAAGAAGUUCCAGACCUCGACCACUUCUCUAUUUUUCCUAUAAAUACCCUAUUUGCAGAAGCACUCUUCAUAUCCUAGGCUCACAAUAUUCAUUAUUCUUAAAGAAAUGAAUGGUUUCCCUGUAUAAAUCGUACUAUUUUCCCUCCCAGCAUUGUUUCUGUGAUUUCAAGCAUCCAAGAGCUUAUGCUGGCUGAAGCUACCUGGAUGUGCUCUUCAGAGCCAUGCAGCGUUGCUUUUGUGUUCAUCCUUUUGCCUCCGGGGGCAUCAUUGUAGUCCCUGUUUGUUAAUUCUACAAGGGUUUGUUUUGCAGAGAUCAGAUUUUUCUUCUUGCUUUGGGCUUGCUAAUCCAGGGACUGAGCACUGCCUGAGCGCACUCCAGUACAACACACACGUCCUGGGGCUGCUCAGAGAAAGGAGAAAGUUAUGGGAAAACUAUGAUUAAAGAAAAAAAAAAAGCGGUUUCCAGUCAAUAUUAAAUGAUCCAUUGCCAAAGAUUUUAAGCUUUUCCAGGUAUGCAGUAUGGAGCCUUGAGAAGCAAGUGACUUGGAAUAGGAAAACAAGUGCGUGGCUUGCUUUUGUCUGGAUAGAGGCAGUUGUUGUGCCCCAAAGAAAGGAAGAAAGCAGCUGAAGCAGAGCAUCCUGCUCAGGGAGCAGAAAGCCAGUGCCUGGCUCCAUCAUGGACAGCUUUGAAGGAAGGAGCAUAAACCAGAGAGGAGGCUGAGAGCAGAGCUGGUGCCAGGCUCCAGACACACAGACCAGCUGAUGGCUUUGUGGCAGCGUGGGGACCAGGCACGGUGCCCUGGGAGGUUAAGGAUUGGGACACAGGGGAGAAGGAAACGUCAUCAGAACUGCAUUGAGAAUUGUCAUCCUGACAGCCACUGCUCAACCAGUGUAGAGGGAGGAGCAGUGACAACGUGAUCCUUUCCCUGUGUUUUAGGACAGCAAGAUUCAUGCUCUGCUAAAACCCCAGUCCUGCUUUGGAUGUAGUCUUUAACAACCAGAUGGAUACAUUUGGACUGGGCAUCUCCUGCUGGCUGAGCACUGGCCUUUGAGAGGGAGGAUAACAGCCCUGCUAUUCAUAGCCCAGGUGCAUGCUGCCCCAUUUCCUGCAGCUUCAGGCCUCGCCAUGCAUGCCCCGCUGUGCUUCUGCCCUGGUGCCUGACACAGAGGAAGCCAAGCAAGACAGCACUGGUGAUGGAACCUCCUGCAGCUGGGGCAGCUGCGUGUACAGCACAGUGUACAGUGCUGCGUGGCGGUGGGAAUGGGACUGUGAGAUGACAGCCUUGCUGUGACCCACAGCCCAGCCAAGCUCCCUGUGUCCCAAAGCAGAACACACCUUGGUGCUGCUGCUGAGCAGCUCAGAGUCCCCACAUAACCUAUUUUUCCUCAGUUCUGUGCUACUGCUACAGAUGGGGUCAGGUGGGAUGCAGCUGCUGGGAGCAGAUGCUGUGCAGCAUCAGGGAGAGCACAGGUCUCAGUCUGCAGAUGGAGUGUUGGAACGAGGUCAGGGAAAAUGCUGCAUCUGGACUUUUUUAAUUAAUGGAAAAUUAGCUUUUUUGAUAAGAUCAGAACUUCCCAGGAAACCAUCCGUGUUCCUCUGAGGUUUGGAGCGUUUUAGGGUGAUGAUGAAAGCUGCAAAGUUGAAAAUAAACUUUGUGCAGCAGUCUGAAAAAAUAAAGCAUGGGGAAGCAGAAA